GACGAACGCUGGCGGCGUGCUUAACACAUGCAAGUCGAACGAAGUGGCGAACGGGUGAGUAACGCGUAAUCAACCUGCCCUUCAGAGGGGGACAACAGUUGGAACCGACUGCUAAUACCGCAUACUGAAGGAGGGGAUUGCGUCUGAUUAGCUAGUUGGAGGGGUAACGGCCCACCAAGGCGAUGAUCAGUAGGCGGGCUGGGGAGGAGAACGGGCAAAUUGGGAAUGGGGCACGGCCCAGAACUCUACGGGAGGCAGCAGGUGGGAAUCUUCGGAAAUGGGCGACAGUCUGGAGGAGCAACGCCGGGGGAGUGAUGACGGCCUUCGGGGUGUAAAGCUAUGUUAAUCGGGGCGCGGUACCGGAAGAGAAAGCCACGGCUAACUACGUGCCAGCAGCCGCGGUAAUUC
rnacentral:rRNA from 1 species